rnacentral:rRNA from 1 species
AGGACAAACGCUGGCGGGGUGCAUGAGACAUGCAAGUCGAACGAGGCACUGUUGAGCUUGCUCGACGGUGUCCUAGUGGCGGACGGCUGAGUAACGCGUAGGUGACCUACCCGGAAGUGGGGAAUAACUGCCCGAAAGGGUGGCUAAUACCGCAUGUGGUCGACGAUUCGAUUCGUCGUCCAAAGGAGCAAUUCGCUUCCGGAGGGGCCUGCGUCCGAUUAGCUAGUUGGUGGGGUAACGGCUUACCAAGGCGACGAUCGGUAGCUGGUCUGAGAGGAUGACCAGCCAGACUGGGACUGAGACACGGCCCAGACUCCUACGGGAGGCAGCAGUCGGGAAUUUUGCCCAAUGAGCGAAAGCUUGAGGCAGCAACUCCGCGUGAGGGAUGAAGGCUCUAGGGUCGUAAACCUCUUUCUCAGGGAAGAUACAAGACGGUACCUGAGGAAUAAGGCGACGGCUAACUACGUGCCAGCAGCCGC